UACGGAAGGCAGCAGUGGGGAAUAUUGCACAAUGGGCGCAAGCCUGAUGCAGCCAUGCCGCGUGUAUGAAAAAGGCCUUCGGGUUGUAAAGUACUUUCAGUCGUGAGGAAGGUGUUAAGGUUAAUAACCUUAGCAAUUGACGUUAGCGACAGAAGAAGCACCGGCUAACUCCGUGCCAGCAGCCGCGGUAAUACGGAGGGUGCGAGCGUUAAUCGGAAUUACUGGGCGUAAAGGGCACGCAGGCGGUUAAUUAAGUUGGAUGUGAAAUCCCCGGGCUUAACCUGGGAAUGGCAUUCAAGACUGGUUAGCUAGAGUCUUGUAGAGGGGGUAGAAUUCCGAUGUGUAGCGGUGAAAUGCGUAGAGAUGUGGAGGAAUACCGGUGGCGAAGGCGGCCCCUGGACAAAGACUGACGCUCAUGUGCGAAAGCGUGGGGAGCGAAACAGGGAUUAGAUACC
rnacentral:rRNA from 1 species